GACGAACCGUGCGAACGUUGUUCGGAAUCACUGGGCUUAAAGGGCGCGUAGGCGGUCUGCCAAGUCCGGGGUGAAAGCCCCCAGCUCAACUGGGGAAGUGCCUUGGAUACUUGUGGACUCGAGCGAGGUAGGGGUGGUGGGAACUUCCGGUGGAGCGGUGAAAUGCGUUGAUAUCGGAAGGAACGCCGGUGGCGAAAGCGCACCACUGGACCUCUUCUGACGCUGAGGAGCGAAAGCCAGGGGAGCAAACGGG
rnacentral:rRNA from 1 species